rnacentral:pre_miRNA from 1 species
UCCAUAAAGUAGAAAGCACUACUAAACUCCUCACCACAGUGUAGUGUUUCCUACUUUAUGGAUG